GAGGAAUAUUGGUCAAUGGGCGAGAGCCUGAACCAGCCAAGUAGCGUGCGGGAUGAAGGCCCUUGUGGUCGUAAACCGCUUUUAUCAGUGAAUAAAGUGCACCACGUGUGGUGUCAUUGCAGGUAGCUGAAGAAAAGGGACCGGCUAAUUCCGUGCCAGCAGCCGCGGUAAU
rnacentral:rRNA from 1 species